rnacentral:misc_RNA from 1 species
AGCAGCCGCGGUAAUUCCAGCUCCAAUAGCGUAUAUUAAAGUUGUUGCAGUUAAAAAGCUCGUAGUUGAAUUUCGGGAUCAAAGAAUCGGUCAUGCCUUGGUAUGUACUGGUUUUAUUGGUUCUCACCUUCUAAAGAACCAUGAUGUCAUUCAUUUGAUGUUAUGGGGAAUUAGGACUGUUACCUUGAAAAAAUUAGAGUGUUUAAAGCAAGCUUACGCUUGAAUACAUUAGCAUGGAAUAAUGAAAUAGGACAUCAGAUUCUAUUUUGUUGGUUUCUAGGAUCGAUGUAAUGAUUAAUAGGGAUAGUUGGGGGCAUUAGUAUUCAAUUGUCAGAGGUGAAAUUCUUGGAUUUAUUGAAGACUAACUACUGCGAAAGCAUUUGCCAAGGAUGUUUUCAUUAAUCAAGAACGAAAGUUAGGGGAUCGAAGACGAUCAGAUACCGUCGUAGUCUUAACCAUAAACUAUGCCGACUAGGGAUCGGAUGAUGUUAAUUUUUUAAUGACUCAUUCGGCGCCUUAC